rnacentral:rRNA from 1 species
GAUGAACGCUGGCGGCGUGCCUAAUACAUGCAAGUCGAGCGAACGGACGAGAAGCUUGCUUCUCUGAUGUUAGCGGCGGACGGGUGAGUAACACGUGGAUAACCUACCUAUAAGACUGGGAUAACUUCGGGAAACCGGAGCUAAUACCGGAUGAUAUUUUGAACCGCAUGGUUCAAAAGUGAAAGACGGUCUUGCUGUCACUUAUAGAUGGAUCCGCGCUGCAUUAGCUAGUUGGUAAGGUAACGGCUUACCAAGGCAACGAUGCAUAGCCGACCUGAGAGAGUGAUCGGCCACCCGGGAACUGAGACACGGUCCAGAGUCCUACGGGAGGCAGCAGUAGCGAAUCUUCCGCAAUGGGCGAAAGCCUGACGGAGCAACGCGGCGUGAGUGAUGACGGUCUUCGGAUCGUAAAACUCUGUUAUUAGGGAAGAACAUAUGUGUAAGUAAAUGUGCACAUCGUGACGGUACCUAAUCAGAAAGCCACGGCUAACUACGUG